UACAGAGGUCUCGAGCGUUAGGCGGAAUCACUGGGCUUAAAGGGUGCGUAGGCGGCUUGUUAAGUAGGGUGUGAAAUCCCCCGGCUCAACCGGGGAAUUGCGCCCUAAACUGGCGAGCUGGAGUGAGAUAGGGGUGUGUGGAACUUCCAGUGGAGCGGUGAAAUGUGUUGAUAUUGGAAGGAACGCCAGUGGCGAAAGCGACACACUGGGUCUCAAACUGAC
rnacentral:rRNA from 1 species